ACACGCGUCCUGCUCCUGCCUCCUGCUGCUGCUGCUGCCGCUGCUGCUGCUGCCGGGACGAGCCAAGACCGACUCCGGGGAUGCGGCUGCAGGACUGCGGCUCUCUCACACCUCCCCAGCCGCCGCUGCCCAGCGCCCGGCUCCUUUUCCAGCGAUCUUAAAGGAAGAGAGCAGGAGAGCCAGCAGCUAUCUAGGACGCCUUGAUUUUAUUUACUAACUCAAGCCUUUGGAAAAGGUACUUUGCACUCUUUUCCACCCCCCACCCCCCACCCCCCACUGCGGUUCUCGGCAGAAACUAAUUAAACCCACUCGCCCUUGGUGCAGCCUAAGACAGUGUAUGAAUAUUUCAGUGUCUCGCAGGCAGCCCUGUAAAGCGAUCACUGUAUUAUUAAGAGGGGCGCAAGAGGAGGAGGAGGGUUGAGUUAGCCGCUGCGGUUUUUGUUUUGUUUUGGUUUUUUUGGAUGCUGCUGCAAGGCGACUUGACGCAUUCCGGCACUGGCUCCUACUCGUAACCAGCGCACCUCACUCGGAGCAGGAGAUGGAAAGCAUGCAAACAAAAAAAGCAUGGUGUUCAGAGCUGGGGGAGCGCAGUAACUUAGAGGACAAGCCGCAGUCAUUGUCACUGCAGGAGUUGACUGUUAAAAAUGCUGCCUGCACAGCUUUUGGCACAUGCUACUGGUGGAGACCGGGUACUGCUCUGGCUGGACCAACUGCGAUUUAGGGUGAGAACUGGACUAUAGUGAAGAAAGCCAGGUCAUCUCAGCUAGUGUGGCACUCUUAGGAGAACCAGUGGUGGGAUGUUCUUCACCUCUUCUGAAAUUACAGCAAACCCUCUGUAUUAGCACUGUAUGGGCA
rnacentral:lncRNA from 1 species